GGGACACGUGGUAUCCUGUCUGAAUAUGGGGGGACCAUCCUCCAAGGCUAAAUACUCCUGACUGACCGAUAGUGAACCAGUACCGUGAGGGAAAGGCGAAAAGAACCCCGGCGAGGGGAGUGAAAAAGAACCUGAAACCGUGUACGUACAAGCAGUGGGAGCACGCUUAGGCGUGUGACUGCGUACCUUUUGUAUAAUGGGUCAGCGACUUAUAUUCUGUAGCAAGGUUAACCGAAUAGGGGAGCCGAAGGGAAACCGAGUCUUAACUGGGCGUUAAGUUGCAGGGUAUAGACCCGAAACCCGGUGAUCUAGCCAUGGGCAGGUUGAAGGUUGGGUAACACUAACUGGAGGACCGAACCGACUAAUGUUGAAAAAUUAGCGGAUGACUUGUGGCUGGGGGUGAAAGGCCAAUCAAACCGGGAGAUAGCUGGUU
rnacentral:rRNA from 1 species